rnacentral:rRNA from 1 species
CCAAUGCCACGCCGAGACGGUAUUACUUCUUUCGCCGCUAACAUAGCGGCGUACGGGUGCGGAACGUGUGUUCUUCUGCCUUUAUCAGGGGGAUAUCCUUUCGAAAGGAAGAUUAAUACCCCAUAAUAUAUUUCAUGGUUUCAUUCGAUAUUCAAAACUACGGUGGAUGGUUAUGCGCGCGCGCAGGAUUAGAUAGCUGGUCUGGUAACGGCCUACCAAGUCAACGGUCCGUAUUGGGCCUGUUAGGCUGAUCGCCCACACUGGUCCUGAGCCAGGAUCAAACUCUCUACGGGAGGCAGCAGUGAGGAAUAUUGGACAAUGGGUGCAAGCCUGAUCCAGCCAUCCCGCGUGAAGGACGACUGCCCUAUGGGUUGUAAACUUCUUUUGUAUAGGGAUAAACCUACUCUCGUGAGAGUAGCUGAAGGUACUAUACGAAUAAGCACCGGCUAACUCCGUGCCAGCAGCCGCGGUAAUACGGAGGGUGCAAGCGUUAUCCGGAUUUAUUGGGUUUAAAGGGUCCGUAGGCUGAUUUGUAAGUCAGUGGUGAAAUCUCACAGCUUAACUGUGAAACUGCCAUUGAUACUGCAAGUCUUGAGUAAGGUAGAAGUAGCUGGAAUAAGUAGUGUAGCGGUGAAAUGCAUAGAUAUUACUUAGAACACCAAUUUGCGAAGGCAGGUUACUAUGUCUUACUGACGCUGAUGGACAAAGCGUGGAGAGCGAACAGGAUUAUAUACCCUGGUAGUCUAUCC